AUCAAUUUCACAUGCUGUUGUGCAAAUGGGAUAGACAACAGGUGGAAAUUAUAGGCAAUUAGCAAGACACCCCAAUAAAGGAGUGGUUCUGCAGAUGGUGACCACAGACCACUUCUCAGUUCCUAUGCUUCCUGGCUGAUGUUUUGGUCACAUUUAAAUGCUGGCGGUGCUUUCACUCUAGUGGUAGCAUGAGACUGAGUCUACAACCCACACAGGUGGCUCAGGUAGUGAAGAUCAUCCAGGAUGGCACAUCAAUACGAACUGUGGCAAGAAGGUUCGCUGUGUCUGUCAGCGUAAUGUCUAGAGCAUGGAGGCGCCACCAGGAGACAGGCC